GCGGCCCCGGGGAGGAGCAGGAGUUCCUGGAGAGGGCCUGUGGCGCAUUCCAGAUUUGCGGGCAGGAGAGAGCAGGUCACCUGGGGCCUCCGCCCCCCACAGCUUACUCUGGAACCAAGGCUGGCACGACUACCACCACCUGGAGCAUUGAUGUUUGCUGGGCCAGAGGAAAAGAAGGAAGAGGCUUCCACCAGAAGUGUCCCUGCGGCUCCUGCUUCAUCAGCCAGAACGAGUCACUCAGCCACAUCUGACUUCAAGGGAGAUGGGCAGUGCAGUCCUACCCUGUGCCCAGGCGGAUACGUGCCCAGGAGUGAGAUCACUGGAUCAUAUGAUAUAUUCCUAACAGAAAUGCAAGCAAGAGGAGGAUCAAAAUAGCAGAGUAGGACAUGGAGCUCACCUCCCCCACCACAAACAAAAAAUUCAUCUACAUGGGGACUAAUUCUCACAGAAAACCACCUGGGAACUGGCAGAAGAUCUCUUACACAACGAAAGCUGCAAGAAAAAUCUCCAUGGUACGAGGUAGGACAAAAAAGAAUGUAUCAGGGAUGGGACCAGCACCCCGGGGAGAGAAUCUGUGAAGGAGGGAAGGUCUACGCGGGAAGGCUGUCACCCUGGGGAGCCGCCUUGCCAGCUGGGAGGGCUGCUGGGGCAGACACAGCGGCUGGAGGGGCCUGGACUCUGCUCAGGAGGGGUGUGCAUGUGCUAGCUUGCUAGCAAUCAGGACAGAGAGACUGGCACUGUCUGCUGAAAGCUGCUGCCUCCCCACACUUCCCAGUCUAAAUGGCAGGGCUGCUAGUACCUGCAGGGCCUGGGGGCUGAAUCUUAGACAGGCCUUGGGAGAGGACUCCAUCUAGCUGCGUGGGGACAGUCUGGUGGGCUUGGGCCAAACCUUGGAGCCACUGUCAGUGCCUGCACCAUAGGGGGAGGGUCUGGCUGCACAACAGACUGUCAGCGUGGCUGAUGCCAAAGAAAUCAUGUCUCUGGCCAACAGCCCCUGGGGAGGAAUACCCAGUGGUUCCUUUCCUGGCUGGCAUUCGUACCAAAAACAGCGCUUGCACCAAAAAUAUUGGACUCACACAAUGCACACGGGGAUGCUUCCACAUAAAGACACCCCUUUAAGACCACAGUAGAUAAACUGUUUCUCCAAAAUUCAUAGAAACAGUUAAGUAAAAUGAAAAAGCAGAGGAGUUACUCCAAGUUAAAAGAACGAGAGGCUCACAGGGGCACCUCUCGUCUUUGUGGCCCGCUGCUGUCUAUGGCAGUGUGCCCUAAUAAACUCCUUUUCUAUUUUCAUACUUCAUCUCUGGUAAAUUCUUACCAACCCGCACAUCACUGUGCCACCAACUGGCCCCCACUGUGUCCCACAUUUGGUGGCCCAUGUGGCCCUUUGGGCUUCUUUCUCCUCUCUCCCCUCUAGCGGGAUCUCCCCCUGGCUUGAUGGGAUGCUCCAUUCUGGAGGCCAGAAUCGUCAAGGCAGGCUUCCCUCUUCUGCUUUCCUUUCCUCUUUCAUACUUUUCUGCUGUUCCCUAGCAUUCAGAAAUUCCCUGAAGUCUUGCCAGGGAUUGAGGAACCCUGGCUGGGCUCUCUCAGCAGGCUCUGAAAUCUGACAGGUGGAAAUGAACCCCGGCCUGUAGGAGUGAAUGCACAUGGGAAAGGUAUCUUAUCUUUUCUAAAUACCCUUCUCUCCAUCUCCCCUUCCCCUAUCCCUUCCUCUGACUCUGGCCCUUGAGACACUCCUUGGUUCUCGGGCCCAACCACGUGGUACACCUCUCUGUGCCUUCCUGCCGCCUUUUGUGGAUCACGCCUCCAGAUUGGUCGUGCCUCCUGCCUUGGAUCACCGCACCAGGUAGAAGUCGCCAGUGGCCCACCAUGUCAAAGUUGUGGAUCCCACCACCCUUCACGGACCCUGGACUUCUUGCCUCACCUACAGCCAACUGGAGACUUGUGCAUGGGCCAGUCGGGCCCCUGGUGACCCUACCUUGUGGAGGACCCCAGCAGCCAGCUCUCAGUGCGUGCACGGGUACCUCUCAUCUGUGUGGCCUGCUGUUGUCUAUGGCAGCAUAUCCUAGUGAGCCCCUUUUCUGUUCUCAUGCUUUGUCUCUGAAUUCUUUGGCCAAUGCACGACAUAACUGUGCUACCAACCGGCCCCUGUUGUGUUCCACAACAGUAACCAGCUCUGCCUCUGCCUUACCCACCCCACCCCCAACCCCUGCAGUCCAUUCUCUACACAGUAUCUAGAGGAGUUUUUAUUAUCAAAUCAUGUCCCUCCUCUACUCUAAGCCCUCUAAUGACUUGGACCUGGAGGUGGGAUGAAGAUAAAAAUAGAAAGGCAGGGGUGGGGUGAGGGGGUAAGUUUGAGGUAGGAAUUUUAGGGGUGGGGGAGAAUUAUGAAGAAGGGAAUGGGUGUGGGACUGGGGCUGGAAUUGGGAUUGGAAAUGCCACCUUGUGUGGGCAUGGAAAUGAUAGGGUUAAGUGUCCAGAUAAGGAUGGGUUUGUGUUUUGGGGAUCAGGUGGUUAGGUUACCUUUGGAAAUUGAGAUGGGGUUGAAUUUGAGGAUUGGAAUGGGCUGAAUUUGGGUUUGAAGCUAGGGUUAAGGAUGGAAUUGGAGCCACAGUCAGGAUGGGGUUGGGUUUGGGAUGGGGGGUCAAGAUGGCAGAAGGGCUCUGGGCUAUGCCUCCAGUCACCAUAUGCCCAUGGCCCAGACGUUCUGAAGCCCAGUUAGCUGCAAAAAAGAAAAGAAACAAACAAGAGAAAUCCCCUGAAAGAACAAUGAAACAGACCUCACCAGUCUAAUAGACCGAGUUCAAAAAGAAGAUAAUAAAAAUGGUAAAGAAAUUAAGAAAUAUUAUCACUAGAAAUGCAGAUCAUUGUAACAGACUAGAAACUAUAAGAACAAUCUAGAAGCAAUGAAGAGGAGAUUAAAUAACACAGAAGAACAAAAUAAUGGAAAUCAUCCAAGCAGAAUAGCAGCAAGAAAGACGUGAGAAAAAAUAAAAGCAACAUCUGAGAUCUAUGGGCUAAUAUAAAGUGCGCCAACCUAUGCCUAAAUAGGGGUUCCAGAAAGAGAAAGAGAGAUCAAAAAUGUAUUUGAAAAAGUGAUAACUGAAAACUUAUCAAGCCUGAGGAAGGAAACAUAUCCAGGUACAGGAAGCAGAGAGAGUCCCAACAAGAUGAACUUCAAGAGACCCACACCAAGACAUAUCAUAAUUUAAAAUGGCAAAAGUUAAAGACUUCACAGGCCAGAAAGGAGUAGCAUAAUAUAUUCAAAGACCUGAAAAGGAAAAACCUGCAAGGAUCCUCUAGCCAGUAAGAUGAUUUAGAAAAGGAGAAUUUCUCAGACAAGCAAAAACUAAAAGAACUCUGCAAUACUAAUCUUCCCUAAAAGAAAUAUUGUAAGGUCUUCUCUAAAUAGAAAAGAAGCAAGAAUCUAUAGAAAAGGCAAUAGGAAAGGUAAAUAUAUAAAAGGAUUGACGUUCACUUACAUAAGUCAGUACAUAGAUUUAAAAAAUCAUUUUGUAAAAGUGAUAACUACAAUUAACAGCAAAAGGAUAAACAUGAAGAUAUAAAAUAGAACAUCAAAAUCACAGAAUGGGGGGAGAGGGAGUAUAAAAAUGUAGAUCUUUUAGAAUAUAUUUGAAUUUACAUGGCUAUCAGUUUAAAGCAAAUAGAUACAGUUAUGGGUUAAUACACUUGAAAACCAGGUUAACCAUAAGCCAAAAACAUAUAAUAGAUUCACAAAAACAAAAAAGGAACUCAAGCAUAAUACAAAAGAAAGCCAUAAAGGAAAAAUGAACAAAGAAGAACUACAAAAUCAACUGGAAAACAAGAUAUAAAAUGGCAUUAAGUACAUACCUAUCAAUAAUUCAGUGUCAGCGCAUUCUGGAAAAGGCACAGCAAUAGAAACAACAAAAAGAUUGUGGUUUCCAGGGGUUUGGGGAGAGGGUGGGAGGGACGGAGGAAUGAAUAGAUGGAGUAAAAGGGAUUUUUUGGGCAAUGAAAUUACUCUGUAUGAUACUAUAGUGGUGGCUUACUUGUCAUUAUGCAUUUGUCAAAACCCAUAAUGUACAACAUCAAGAGUAAACCCUAAUGUAAACUAUGGACUUUGGUUGAUAAUGUGUCUAUGUUGGUUCAUCGGUUGUACCAAAUAUGCCACACUGAUGAGGGAUGUUGAGGGUAGGGGAGUAUAUAUGUGUGGAUGGAGAGGGCUAUGUGCCGACUCUGUAUUUUCUGCUCAAUUCUGUUGUGAACCUGAAACUGCUCUAAAAGAAUAAAAUCUAUUUAAAAAAAUUAAAUGUCAAUGGACUAAAAGUGCCAAUCAAAAGAGAGUGGCAGACUGGAUUAAACAAGAACCUACAAUAUCUUGCUUACAAAGGACUCACUUCAGGGGAAAGACAGAUUGAAAGGGAGAGGAUGGAGUAAGGUAGUUUCAUGCAAAUGAAAAUGACAAAGCAGGGAUAGCAAUACUAUCAGACAAAAUAUACUUUAAAAGAAAGUCCAUAA